rnacentral:snoRNA from 1 species
AAGACUUAUACUUUCAGGGUUUCAUUCUCUAUAGUUUGUGAACUUGAGAAAUGUGUUUCUAAAGUGUAUGGGUACUCGGCUGCCCAACGAUAAGAGGUGGUGAUACUCCUUCUUGAACAUGAAGAAAGUAGAAGACUUGUUUCAUCAUAUCUCUCUACGUAACUGAUGACUGUUCACGUGUUUCUUUUUAGAGACAGUGAAGUGAAGGAGUAUGAUCUGUCGU